UCGGAUAUGGUGUAACGGCUAACAUUGCCGCCUCUCAUCUAUCACAUAUUGAGAUGGAUUUCGCGGCAGCUCGGGGUUCGAUUCCCCGUAUCCAAA
rnacentral:tRNA from 1 species